CUACGGGUGGCUGCAGUGAGGAAUAUUGCACAAUGGGGGGAACCCUGAUGCAGCAACGCCGCGUGGAGGAUGACGCAUUUCGGUGUGUAAACUCCUUUUAUAUGUCAAGAAAAUGACGGUAGCAUAUGAAUAAGCACCGGCUAACUCCGUGCCAGCAGCUGCGGUAAUACGGAGGGUGCAAGCGUUACUCGGAAUCACUGGGCGUAAAGGACGCGUAGGCGGGUUGGAAAGUCAGGUGUGAAAUCCUACAGCUUAACUGUAGAACUGCACUUGAAACUUCUAAUCUAGAGUAUGGGAGGGGGAGAUGGAAUUAGUGGUGUAGGGGUAAGAUCCGUAGAUAUCACUAGGAAUACCUAAAGCGAAGGCGAUCUCCUGGAACAUUACUGACGCUAAGGCGUGAAAGCGUGGGGAGCAAACAGGAUUAGAUACCCUUGUAGUC
rnacentral:rRNA from 1 species